GGGCUACCAAGCACAUUUACUAAAAUUGGAACUACACAGAGAAAAGAUUAGCAUGGCCCUUGAGCAACAAUGACUUGCAGAUCUGCAAAGUGUUCCAUAUUUUU
ensembl:snRNA U6 U6 spliceosomal RNA